UACAGAGGUCCCGAGCGUUGUUCGGAUUCACUGGGCGUAAAGGGUGCGCAGGUGGCAUGGCAAGUUUGAUGUGAAAGCUUCGGGCUUAACCCGGAAAUGGCAUUGAAUACUGCUGUGCUGGAGGGUCGGAGGGGGGACUGGAAUUCUUGGUGUAGCUGUGAAAUGCGUAGAUAUCAAGAGGAACACCAGUGGCGAAGGCGAGUCCCUGGACGAUUCCUGACACUGAGGCACGAAAGCUAGGGGAGCAAACAGG
rnacentral:rRNA from 1 species